rnacentral:rRNA from 1 species
GAUGAACGCUGGCGGCGUGCCUAAUACAUGCAAGUCGAGCGAACAGACGCGGAGCUUGCUCCUCUGACGUUAGCGGCGGACGGGUGAGUAACACGUGCAUAACCUACCUAUAAGACUGGGAUAACUUCGGGAAACCGGAGCUAAUACCGAAUAAUAUAUACAACCGCAUGGUUCAAUAGUGAAUGACGGUUUUGCUGUCACUUAUCGAUGGAUCCGCGCCGCAUUAGCGAGUUGGUAAGGUAACGGCUUACCAAGGCGACGAUGCGUAGCCGACCUGAGAGGGUGAUCGGCCACACUGGAACUGAGACACGGUCCAGACUCCUACGAGAGGCAGCAGUAGGGAAUCUUCGGCAAUGGGCGAAAGCCUGACGGAGCAACGCCGCGUGAGUGAUGAAGGUCUUCGGAUCGUAAAACUCUGUUAUUAGGGAAGAACAAAUGUGUAAGUAACUAUGCACGUCUUGACGGUACCUAAUCAGAAAGCCACGGCUAACUACGUG